AUAUAUAUAUAUAUAUAUAUAUAUAUAGUUAGCUUGAAUACUCUCAAAAGUACCAAGGGGGUGGUGCUUUUGAGUUUUUAACCGUUGGAUGGAGAUAUGUAUGAUUGAGAUGAUGAUGGUAGGUGGUGGUAGGUGGAAUAGUAUUUGAUCCAAGAGGUAUUAGUAAUUAAGGAGUAGAUCCAAGGACUAGAAACUUAGAAGCACCAAGGGUUUAGUGCUUCUAAAAAUAUUCUAGCUCAAUAUAUAUCUAUAUCUAUACUACUUAUAAAAGCGUGAGUUUUGAAAUUUUUUUCUUUCCAAAAAUGUCUCUAUCUUUUUUACUAAUAUUGUCAUGUCCAGUAAAUUUCAACCACUCAUUUUAAAUAAAUCUUUAAAUAAUAAUUUAUUCUNUUUGUAUACGGCGGAUUUGUCGGCGCGCCCGGGGAAAGUGUAAUCCGGGGCGUGACAGUGGGCCCACUAGGAUUGAGUCGGUGGUUGGUUGAAUAGUAUAAUCUAACAGUUGAAAAUGAUUAAAAACAUAGAUCUAACAUUAAAAAAUUUACAAGCACCAUAGCCGGACUAUAUAUAUAUAUAUUUUGGUGCUUGGUGCUUUUACAAGUACCAUAGCCGGACUCUCUCUCUCUCUCUCUCUCUCUCUCUAUAUAUAUAUAUAUAUAUAUAUAUAUUUUGCACUGGACUGCUUCUAAAAGCAUAAGGCUUAGUAGUUUUAAUUUUUUAACCUUAAAUCGAUCUUUUUGACAUCGUAUCAAAAGUCAAUAAUGAUAAUUAUUUGUGAGGCUCAUCAUUGUGUAUUAUCUAAGGUAUCGUUUGGUUCGGGGAUAAGCAAAAAAUGGGUAUUCUAGGGAUAGGUAUAAAUUGAGGUAUAAGCGGGGAUUAGAUCAAUUUUACGUUUGGAUGAAAAUUGGGUUAUUCCUGGAAAUAAAAAAAAUAGCGUUUGGUUAGAUAAGAUAGAACAAGAAUUAAAGUGGGUAGUUAUAAAUAAAAAUAAUAAUAUUAUCCCUUUUUUUAUNGGAUUAAAUCAAUUUUGCGUUUGAAUGAAAAAUUGAGUUAUUCCUGCGAAUAAAAAAAAUAGCAUUUAAUUAGGUAAGAUGAAAUAAGAAUUAAAGUGGGUAGUUAUAAAUAAAAAAUAAUAAUAUUAUCCCUUUUUUUAUAUUAGAAUUUGAAUUUUUAUAUUUUAUAUUUAUAUUUUAGAAUUUAAACUAUAAACUUUAAAAUUUGAAAAUUUUAAAAUCUCAAAUUUACAAAUUUAAAAAAAUAAAAUUUUAAAUUUUAAACUUUAAAUUUAAGAUGAAAUUUUAAUUUAAAAAUACAAAAAUAUCAAAUACAAAAUUAAUUUUUUAACUUACAAAAUUUAAAUUUUAUAAUAAAUUAAAAGAUUCUCUCUCUCUCUCUCUCUCUCUCUCUCUCUUCACC
rnacentral:lncRNA from 1 species